rnacentral:lncRNA from 1 species
GCAUAUGCAAAUUUCCAGGCUAGGGGUUGAAUCGGAGCUGUCACUGCUGGCCUACACCACAGACACAGCAAUGAAGGAUUUGAGCUUCACCAUCACCUACACCAUAGCUCACAGCAAUGCCGGAUCCCCAACCCACUGAUCGAGGCCAGGGAUCGAACCCACAUCCUCAGGGAUCCUAGUGGGGUUCGUUACUGCUGAGCUACAACAGGAACUCCCACAGAAUUUUGUGGAGUCAUUAGGAGGUAUUAGGAGGUAUUAGAACUGCUAUAACAACUUACCACACAUGUAAGUGGCUUAAAACAACAUACAUUUAUUUUCUCACAGUUCUGGAGGCCAGAUGGCUUAUGACCCCUUCCUCCAAUCACUCCAACCUAUGUCCACUGUCACAUCUUCUCCUUCUGUAGCUAAGCCUCCCUCUGCCUUCCUACAUCAUGGUUACACUUAAGCCUCAGCCAGGAAAUCCGAGAAAAGCUCAUCUUAAAAUCCUAAAUUCAUUACAUCUGCAAAAUCCCUUCUGUCAUGUAAUAUGCACAGGCUCCAAGGAUUAGGAUGUGGAUAUCUUGAGAGGCCAUUAUUUAGCCUGCCACAGUGGAUUUAUGUAACUCCAUCCAUUUCUAUUCCUUUCAGGAGAGUCAGUGGAGGGAAGUGAUGUUAUUUCAGAGAUAACCAUGAAUCUAUUAUUUUUAGAGGAAAAUGGUAAAUUCCAGUACUUUAUGAAUAACAUAUUAUUUGACAUUUCACAACUUAUCUCAACUUAUCAAUGUGUCCUAACACCAAAAUUAGGAAGCUAACAAAGGGAGAGUUGAUGUGGAAGAACUCUAAAAUGACCCCAACAUUCUCCACCCUAGUGCACACACCCUGUAUAAUCUUCUGCCCUAGACUGAGGCCUGUGAAUAGGAUGAAAUGUCACUCCCUUGACUGCACCACAUGACACAUGAGACUCCACAAGAGCAGACUAGACUGAGAUUCUCCUUGAAGAAGCAAGCUGCUAUGUUGUGAAAGGGCCAUGUAACUACAACCUGUGGGAGGGCUUCUAGGAGCCAAGAGUAACUUCUGGUGAUACCAGCAAGAAAAUGGCUCUAAGCCCUGUCCCAGAACUGCAUGAAAAUGAAUUCCACCAGCAACCUAAAUGAGUGUGGAUAUGAGGACCCCCAGCCUCAGAUGAGAUUGCAGUUGGAGCUGACAUCUUGAGAUUUUAGCUUGGUGAGACCUUGAGCAGAAGACCCAGCUAACCUAUGCCCAGACACCUGAUCCACAAAAAUUCUGGAAUAAAAAAAUGUGUGUUUGUGGUGAUCUGUUAUACAGUAAUAGUAAACUAAUACAGUUGGCAAAUACGAAAUUUGAACAGGGAGUUAGUCACACGAGUAGACUUUAGACAGGUCAAUGAACCAUCUGAAAUUACAGGAAAUUUUAGAAGGCCCAUACACAUAUGUAUUUAACAAAGAAAUGGAUACAUAAUUUGCCCCAGAUUCUCAAAAAGCCAGUGGCCCAUACAAACAGAGAAGACAAGAUCAGGGGUCAAAUGGAGAGGACAAAAAAUAAUUUUUUGAGAUGUUUCCCUGGAGUUCCCCAUCUGGUAUGAUAUCAGAGUAGAGAGAUUCCAUAAAGAAAAAGUAGGAACUAAAAAACCUUUCUUUGUUAAUAUCCUUCCAUCUCUUACCACACAGGGGAAGGUAGAGAAUGGAGAUAUAGAGGUAUAUUUCAUUGCAAAGCAUUUCUAUAGAAAGAAAUGCAAUAUAACUUCUCUCCCCCAAUGCAGGCCUCAUAGUCUUUAACAGCACCAGUACACAACAGACAGUGCCCACCACAUGCUUCUUCGAUUGUCACCUGGACUUCAUGCUCCCUUCCCUCACACUGUACUGUGGUUCUUCAUUGCUAUAUGAAUAAAUGCUUCAAAAGCCCCCUCCCCAAGCUUCCCUGAGUGAACUCAAAGUUC